AGUCAACCUACCCUAUGGACGGGAAUAACCUCGGGAAACUGAGAAUAAUGCCCGAUAGAACAUUAUGCCUGGAAUGGUUUAUGUUCCAAAUGAUUCAUCGCCGUAGGAUGGGACUGCGGCCUAUCAGUUUGUUGGUGAGGUAAUGGCCCACCAAGACUAUUACAGGUACGGGCUCUGAGAGGAGUAGCCCGGAGAUGGGUACUGAGACACGGACCCAGGCCCUAUGGGGCGCAGCAGGCGAGAAAACUUUGCAAUGUGCGAAAGCACGACAAGGUUAAUCCGAGUGGUUUCUGCUAAAGGAACCUUUUGUCGGUCCUAGAAACACCGAUGAAUAAGGGGUGGGCAAGUUCUGGUGUCAGCCGCCGCGGUAAAACCAGCACCUCAAGUGGUCAGGAUGAUUAUUGGGCCUAAAGCAUCCGUAGCCUGCUUUGUAAGUUUUCGGUUAAAUCCAUGUGCUCAACACAUGGGCUGCCGGGAAUACUGCACAGCUAGGGAGCGGGAGAGGUAGACGGUACUUGAUAGGAAGGGGUAAAAUCCUUUGAUCUAUUGAUGACCACCUGUGGCGAAGGCGGUCUACCAGAACACGUCCGACGGUGAGGGAUGAAGGCUGGGGGAGCAAACCGGAUUAGAUACCCGGGUAGUCCCAGCUGUAAACUAUGCAAACUCAGUGAUGCAUUGGCUUGUGGCUAAUGCAGUGCU
rnacentral:rRNA from 1 species